rnacentral:rRNA from 1 species
UACGUAGGGUGCAAGCGUUGUCCGGAAUUAUUGGGCGUAAAGAGCUCGUAGGCGGUUUGUCGCGUCGAAUGUGAAAACCCGGGGCUCAACCCCGGGCCUGCAUUCGAUACGGGCAGACUAGAGUUCGGUAGGGGAGUCUGGAAUUCCUGGUGUAGCGGUGAAAUGCGCAGAUAUCAGGAGGAACACCGGUGGCGAAGGCGGUCUCCUGGGGCAUUCUUGACGCUGAGGAGCGAAAGCGUGGGGAGCGAACAGG